CACAGAGAGAUUUGAACAAUUAAAGUUGUCCCUACUUGUUGAUGGGUUUUCGAAGGUUAGUGUGGACAAGUGGAUGGAUAUAACGGAGAUGAGAUAUGUGAUUGCAUCACGGUAUAACGUAAUCCUUGUAUCGUUGUCCCGACAACAAAGCAUGACAUUUUUUCCUCUUAGAAGUCAACCACCACCUGAUUCUUCUGAGCACCGCAUGAUAUGUGUCGGUCACGUGUUUGGAAAUCAUUUUGUUCAGGUUUAUUGAAAGACCAUUGUCCCUCUUACCGCCUCCAGCGUUGUUGUGGUCAAGCAAUUGUUAUUCUCAGGCAAAGCAGUGGACAAUUCCAUAUAUUAGUAGAAUGCAUCAAUACACAAGCUUGAUGUCAUUCAAAAGACACUAUGUCGACCUAUAUGAAGACUAAACAUGCAUUGUUUAUGUAAUUGUAUUCAUUAUGCGAUAUAAUUUGUUGUAAGCCACUA